rnacentral:tRNA from 1 species
GGGCCCUUAGCUCAGUCGGUAGAGCGGCUGGCUCAUAACCAGCAAGUCGGAGGUUCGAGUCCUUCAGGGCCCA